GUAUUUGUGGAAACAUUAGACAAAUGUUUUGAAAAUGUCUGUGAGCUGGAUUUGAUUUUCCAUGUAGACAAGGCUGGCUUAGCAGGAGCUCCAGCCCGUGCUGUAUCAGCUGUAAAGAAUAUGAAUCUUCCUGAGAUCCCAAGAAAUAUUAACAUUGGUGACAUCAGUAUAAAAGUGCCAAACCUGCCCUCUUUUAAAUAAAAAUGUAAAAAGGCCACUCCCAGGUAAAAUCCAGGGGGAAGAGUCAUCUAAGUUUACCAUGCAGUUGUUUACCAAAAAUAGAGGAGGAGAGUCUUAACUUUUGCUCUUGGAUUUAAGUCAAGGUACUGUAUAGAAGUUGUGUAAAAUCAGUAUGAAAGUUCAAUGUUGCUGUUCUUGCUCAGUGAUUUUAAAGAAAUUGAGUAGUUCCUAUGUGAUUUUUUUUUCUUUUCUAAACUGCAUUCCUGUGCCCACCUACGGCAUGCCUCUAUGUAUUGGCUACUACAGUGUUUUAAAAAGUGUUUCAGAUAUUUCUCUAAUUAUGUACAACCUAAAAUGUUGGUGUUUUGUAUGGAUCACAAGUGCAGCAUUCCUUAAUUCCUUCUGCUAUAUGUCACACAAUUGUUAUUU
rnacentral:sRNA from 1 species